CGGCCAGACUGCCCACCACCGGCUCUGAGCUCAUCGGCUCUGCGGUCAAUCACUUCCCUCUGGAGCUGGGCAAGGCACUGGGGAAACGUGGGCCUGAGCAGGACUUUGCAGCCAAGGCCACUGGACUAGCUUGAGAGUCCUGGGCAGCAUCCAGGCACGGGCUCCAGGCCUUCUGCCCCAGCUCGAGGUGCCAUAGCAGGUGCCUCUCAUGGGAUUGGGGCAAGUGGCACAGUCUUGAGGCUCCCCCAGUCAGACCCUUCCCCCUUCUCCCCAGGCCAUGGUGGGCAGGUGGCCACUUCCGUUGCUGCCUGUGUCUGAGGACAUUGGCCCAGGGUUGGCAAGAAGAGGAAGGUGUUGCAUCAACAUGCAGCACAUUCACCUGACAAGGAGCUGGCCGCAGCCUCCGCUGCCAAACGGUGACGGUGCUGGCUGGUGCCCCCAGGAGCUGUUCACCACCUCCCGGGCUAAUGGCGCUUGCUGCCUGGCACACAGCAGGUGACUACACUGCAUGGCUUAUAAAUGUGGCCUCUGCCAGGAAAUCCUGGGAAAGAGCCAGGGAGGUGACGUUUUAUCCACGAGCCUGCUAUGGCUUAGCCUAGCCCUCCCCUAACUGUGACCAAGCUCUGGAUGAGACACAGACAACUACUGAGGACCUGCAAAGUAAGGAGACUGCAGGGCGGAGGCGGAACUUGGAGGAGUGACCUGCCGUGGAGUUUCUGGUUUCCUCCUUGUGGCUUUGUCUGGAGGGCAAGCCCCACUCUCAGAUCCACAUGGCAACACAAGCAGCUAAAACGCAGAUAGAAACCCCAACCUGGGAAAAGGAGUCCUACAGACACAAAACUAGGAAGGUGUGAUCAUCCUCAAGAGAACAGACAAUGCUCAGAUGCCAGCCCCAACUGACACAGAUGCCUACAGCAGCCGCGGUAACUGCUUUGCGAGUUGCACGCAUACACAGCACACGCACACACACCUCAGAAAGGAGCAUUAGAUGAAAUGAAUAAUAAACCUCACAGAGAGGUAGGAAAAAAAAUAAACAAAUGAGUAUUUUUGAACUAAAAGAAUAGAGUAUCUGCAAUUAAAAUUGUACUGAUGGACUCAAUAGCAGAAUGGAGACAAAGGAAAGCCAGCGAACGUGAAGACAGAUAAAUAGAAAAUAUCCACUCCGAAGAACGAAGAUAAAGAGGAAAAACAAGAACAAGCAUCACGGGCCAGCUGGGGUCGUAUCGAAAGGCCCAGCACAUACCUGGUUCCAGAAAGCAAGGAGGAGGUUGGGGCAGAAAGUUAUUUGAAGGAAUAUUGGCUGAAACAUCCCAAGUCUGGUGAAAUACAUAAAUGUAAGCAUUCAAGAAGCUCAGUGAACCCCAAAGAAGAUAAACAGAAAGGAAAAUAGACCCAGACAUAGCAUCAUCAAAUUGCUGAAAACUGAAGAAAACAUCUGGAAAGCAGCUAGAGAAAAACAACACAUUUCGUACACAAAAGCAGUGACUCCAGUGACUACAGAAUUCUUGCCAGAAACCACGGCAGCCAGGAGACAGCAGAACGAUGUCUUUAAUGCAUGAAAGGAAAGGUUUCUCCUUGCAAGGUGUUUGUUCAUUUCUUCCAAGUUGUGGAAUAUAUGGGCAGAAGAUUGGACACCAUCCCCCUCGACUCUUUUUUCCCAUCUGUAGGGUCUGCGGUGAUGUCCUUUUUAGCCUCCAUGUUUGUAAUGAGGGUCUCUUUGUUUUGGGGUCAGUCUGGCCAGCAGCUUAUCAAUUGUAUUGAUCUUUUCAAAGAAUCAGCUUGGGUUUCAUUUAUUUUCUCUAUUUUCUGUUUUUGUUUUUUGUUCAGCUGAUUUCCACCCUGAUCUUUAUUACCUUCUACUUUCCGCAUGCGUUUUGUAAUUUAUUUUUCCCUUACUAGUUUCUCCAGGUGAAAGCUCCUAUCAUAGUUGGCAAGGGUUUUCUGUAAAGGGCUAGAGAGUAAAUAUGUUUGGUUUUGUGAG
rnacentral:lncRNA from 1 species